rnacentral:lncRNA from 1 species
UACUGUCAUCGAGAAUGAAAAAAGGAAAUGAAAGGUAAUACAGGUCAACUGGAGGGGCCCUGCUAUAAUGCUAUGCCAACAUCAGCAAUAAAUCUGACAGUCACCCCUACCUGAAGCAUCAGGUUAUUCUCAAUGGUGCUGCUAUUUCACUGAUUUGAAGGUUCAGAAGAAAAAGUCUGCAUCCAGGGGCCGGCCCGGUGGUGCAGCGAAGUUUGCACGUUCUGCUUCAGCGGCCCGAGGAUUGCCAGUUCGGAUCCCGGUUGUGGACGUGGCACCACUUGGCAAGCCAUGCUGUGAAGAUCAGGGACAUGGAGUGAGGCAUAAGCCAUUGAAAGCUGCCCUGGCUUUUCCCUUCACGGUACACUGGGAGA